rnacentral:misc_RNA from 1 species
GAUGAAGAACGUAGCGAAAUGCGAUAAGUAAUGUGAAUUGCAGAAUUCAGUGAAUCAUCGAAUCUUUGAACGCACAUUGCGCCCGCCAGUAUUCUGGCGGGCAUGCCUGUUCGAGCGUCAUUUCAACCAUCAAGCCCCCGGCUCGUGUUGGGGACCUGCGGCUGCCGCAGGCCCUGAAAACCAGUGGCGGGCUCGCUAGUCACUCCGAGCGUAGUAAUACAUCUCGCUCAGGGCGUGCUGCGGGUUCCGGCCGUUAAAAAGCCUUAUUUACCCAAGGUUGACCUCGGAUCAGGUAGGAAGACCCGCUGAACUUAAGCAUAUCAAUAAGCGGAGGA